rnacentral:rRNA from 1 species
GACGAACGCUGGCGGCGUGCUUAACACAUGCAAGUCGAACGGUAAGGCUCCAGCUUGCUGGGGUACACGAGUGGCGAACGGGUGAGUAACACGUGGGUGACCUGCCCUGCACUUCGGGAUAAGCCUGGGAAACUGGGUCUAAUACCGGAUAGGACCAUGGUGUGGAUACUGUGGUGGAAAGUUUUUUCGGUGUGGGAUGGGCCCGCGGCCUAUCAGCUUGUUGGUGGGGUAAUGGCCUACCAAGGCGGCGACGGGUAGCCGGCCUGAGAGGGUGGACGGCCACAUUGGGACUGAGACACAGCCCAGACUCCUACGGGAGGCAGCAGUGGGGAAUAUUGCACAAUGGGCGGAAGCCUGAUGCAGCGACGCCGCGUGGGGGAUGACGGCCUUCGGGUUGUAAACUCCUUUCACCAUCGACGAAGGGUUUCUGACGGUAGAUGGAGAAGAAGCACCGGCUAACUACGUG